GUGGGGAAUUUUGCACAAUGGGCGCAAGCCUGAUGCAGCAACGCCGCGUGUGUGAUGAAGGUCUUCGGAUCGUAAAGCACUUUCGACCGGGACGAAACACCCUCACCCAACACGUGAGGGCCUGACGGUACCGGGAGAAGAAGCACCGGCUAACUCUGUGCCAGCAGCCGCGGUAAUACAGAGGGUGCAAGCGUUGUUCGGAAUUAUUGGGCGUAAAGCGCGUGUAGGCGGCAUAGCAAGUCGGGUGUGAAAGCCCUCGGCUCAACCGAGGAAGUGCGCCCGAAACUGCUGUGCUUGAGUACCGGAGAGGGUAGCGGAAUUCCCCAAGUAGAGGUGAAAUUCGUAGAUAUGGGGAGGAACACCGGUGGCGAAGGCGGCUACCUGGACGGUCACUGACGCUGAGACGCGAAAGCGUGGGUAGCAAACAGGAUUAGAAACCCUUGUAGUCC
rnacentral:rRNA from 1 species